UACGUAGGGACCGAGCGUUGUCCGGAAUCAUUGGGCGUAAAGAGCGUGUAGGCGGCUAGAUAGGUCCGUUGUGAAAACUCGAGGCUCAACCUCGAGACGUCGAUGGAAACCAUCUGGCUAGAGUCCGGAAGAGGAGAGUGGAAUUCCUGGUGUAGCGGUGAAAUGCGCAGAUAUCAGGAAGAACACCCGUGGCGAAGGCGGCUCUCUGGAACGCAACUGACGCUGAGACGCGAAAGCGUGGGGAGCAAACAGG
rnacentral:rRNA from 1 species